rnacentral:rRNA from 3 species
AGACCCGAAACCCGGUGAUCUAGCCAUGGGCAGGUUGAAGGUUGGGUAACACUAACUGGAGGACCGAACCGACUAAUGUUGAAAAAUUAGCGGAUGACCUGUGGCUGGGGGUGAAAGGCCAAUCAAACCGGGAGAUAGCUGGUUCUCCCCGAAAGCUAUUUAGGUAGCGCCUCGUGAAUUCAUCUCCGGGGGUAGAGCACUGUUUCGGCUAGGGGGCCAUCCCGGCUUACCAACCCGAUGCAAACUGCGAAUACCGGAGAAUGUUAUCACGGGAGACACACGGCGGGUGCUAACGUCCGUCGUGAAGAGGGAAACAACCCAGACCGCCAGCUAAGGUCCCAAAGUCAUGGUUAAGUGGGAAACGAUGUGGGAAGGCCCAGACAGCCAGGAUGUUGGCUUAGAAGCAGCCAUCAUUUAAAGAAAGCGUAAUAGCUCACUGGUCGAGUCGGCCUGCGCGGAAGAUGUAACGGGGCUAAACCAUGCACCGAAGCUGCGGCAGCGAACGUAUCACCCAAGACAACUUUACGGAGUUGACGAUUGACGGAGCG